rnacentral:rRNA from 1 species
UACGAACCGUGCGAACGUUAUUCGGAAUCACUGGGCUUAAAGGGCGCGUAGGCGGAUUUGCAAGUCUGUGGUGAAAUCCUCCAGCUUAACUGGAGAAGUGCCAUGGAUACUGCGAGUCUCGAGGAAGGUAGGGGCAUCUGGAACUGCCGGUGGAGCGGUGAAAUGCGUUGAUAUCGGCAGGAACUCCGGUGGCGAAGGCGAGAUGCUGGAUCUUUUCUGACGCUGAGGCGCGAAAGCCAGGGGAGCAAACGGG